CGUGAGCAAUCUGCCUUUGGAUGGGGGAUAACAGCCGGAAACGACUGCUAAUACCGCAUGAUGCAGCGAGACCGCAUGAUUUUGCUGCCAAAGAUUUAUCGUCCAAAGAUGAGCUCGCGUCUGAUUAGCCAGUUGGCGGGGUAACGGCCCACCAAAGCGACGAUCAGUAGCCGGACUGAGAGGUUGAACGGCCACAUUGGGACUGAGACACGGCCCAGACUCCUACGGGAGGCAGCAG
rnacentral:rRNA from 1 species